AAUGAACGUUGGCGGCAUGGAUUAGGCAUGCAAGUCGAGCGGGUGUAGCAAUACAUCAGCGGCGUAAGGGACAGGAACACGUAGACUACCUGCCCUCGGGUCUGGGAUAGCCACGGGAAACUGUGGGUAAUACCAGAUGACAUCUCCGGAUCAAAGGUGUGAUUCCGCCCGAGGAUGGGUCUGCGUCCUAUUAGCUAGUUGGUGAGGUAACGGCUCACCAAGGCAAUGAUGGGUAGCAGGUGUGAGAGCACGACCUGCGUCAUUGGGACUGAGACACUGCCCAGACACCUACGGGUGGCUGCAGUCGAGAAUUUUUGGCAAUGGGCGCAAGCCUGACCAAGCGAUGCCGCGUGCGGGAUGAAGGCCUUCGGGUUGUAAACCGCUAUCAGUGGGGAGAAAAGGUAAGUGGGUUCUCUCAUCUAUUUGAUCUAUCCGCAGAGGAAGUGUGGGCUAAGUUCGUGCCAGCCGCCGCAGUAAUAC
rnacentral:rRNA from 1 species